rnacentral:rRNA from 1 species
GAUGAACGCUGGCGGCGUGCCUAAUACAUGCAAGUCGAGCGAACAGACGAGGAGCUUGCUCCUCUGACGUUAGCGGCGGACGGGUGAGUAACACGUGGAUAACCUACCUAUAAGACUGGGAUAACUUCGGGAAACCGGAGUUAAUACCGGAUAAUAUGUUGAAUCGCAUGGUUCAACAGUGAAAGACGGUCUUGCUGUCACUUAUAGAUGGAUCCGCGCCGCAUUAGCUAGUUGGUAAGGUAACGGCUUACCAAGGCAACGAUGCGUAGCCGACCUGAGAGGGUGAUCGGCCACACUGGAACUGAGACACGGUCCAGACUCCUACGGGAGGCAGCAGUAGGGAAUCUUCCGCAAUGGGCGAAAGCCUGACGGAGCAACGCCGCGUGAGUGAAGAAGGUCUUCGGAUCGUAAAACUCUGUUAUUAGGGAAGAACAAAUGUGUAAGUAACUAUGCACGUCUUGACGGUACCUAAUCAGAAAGCCACGGCUAACUACGUG